rnacentral:rRNA from 1 species
UGAGUGCGAGCUGCUACGGCAGCGAAGUUGGUGACGUCAAGCUUCCAAGAAAAGCCCUAUACCCGUUAAGGCAUCAUGGCCUGUACCCGAAACCGACACAGGUGGGGUGGUAGAGAAUACCGAGGGGCGCGAGGUAACUCUCUCUAAGGAACUCGGCAAAAUGGCCCCGUAACUUCGGGAGAAGGGGUGCCACCGCAAGGUGGUCGCAGUGAAGAGGCCCAGGCGACUGUUUACCAAAAACACAGGUCUCCGCUAAGUCGCAAGACGAUGUAUGGGGGCUGACGCCUGCCCAGUGCCGGAAGGUUAAGGAAGCUGGUCAGCGCAAGCGAAGCUGGCGACUGAAGCCCCGGUGAACGGCGGCCGUAACAAUAACGGUCCUAAGGUAGCGAAAUUCCUUGUCGGGUAAGUUCCGACCCGCACGAAAGGCGUAACGAUCUGGGCGCUGUCUCGGAGAGAGGCUCGGCGAAAUAGAAUUGUCUGUGAAGAUGCGGACUACGUGCACCCGGACAGAAAGACCCUAUGAAGCUUUACUGUAGCUUGGUAUUGUGCCCGGGCUCUGAAUGCGCAGGAUAGGUGGGAGGCUUUGAUCAUCGGCUUGCGGGUCGAUGUGAGCCAACGGUGAGAUACCACUCUUUCAGAGCUAGGGUUCUAACAGUCACCCGUUAUCCGGGGACUGGACAGUAUCAGGUGGGCAGUUUGACUGGGGCGGUCGCCUCCUAAAAGGUAACGGAGGCGCGCAAAGGUCUGCUCAGGCUGGUUGGAAAUCAGCCGACGAGUGUAAAAGCAGAAGCAGGCUUGACUGUGAGACCUACAAGUCGAACAGGGAGGAAACUCGGCUUUAGUGAUCCGACGGUUCUGCGUGGAAGGGCCGUCGCUCAACGGAUAAAGUUACUCUAAGGAUAACAGGCUGAUCUCCCCCAAGAGUUCACAUCGACGGGGAGGUUUGGCACCUCGAUGUCGGCUCAUCGCAACCUGGGGCUGAAGUCGGUCCCAAGGGUUGGGCUGUUCGCCCAUUAAAGCGGUACGCGAGCUGGGUUCAGAACGUCGUGAGACAGUUCGGUCAUAUCCGGUGCAUGCGCAGGAAUAUUGAGAGGAGUUCUCCCUAGUACGAGAGGACCGGGAGGAACGCACCUCUGGUGUACCAGUUAUCGUGCCAACGGUAAACGCUGGGUAGCCAUGUGCGGAGAGGAUAACCGCUGAAAGCAUCUAAGUGGGAAGCCCACCUCAAGAUGAGUAUUCCCAUGGCGUUAGCCAGUAAGGUCACGGGAAGAACACCCGUUGAUAGGCUCUAUGUGGAAGCGCAGUAAUGCGUGAAGCAGAGGAGUACUAGUAGACCGAGGGCUUGAUC